UUCUGUUUGUCUUUGCCCACCCGCCGCCCGCCAAUACAAGUAUCAGACGAACUGUGUUACUGGAUGAGUGGAACGCAGCUGACCAGAUCUUACAUCAUUUUUUCGUGUACAGCGCCCACUGCAACAAUGACUGAAAUAAGGAAGGACCUACCAAAACACCAUGUUUAAUACGUUUUGGGGAAUCCAGACUGUAUGCAAGCAGACACAUGCUGUCUAUUGAUGGUGUUAUUUUCAACGAGGACAUUGCCACAUUUGCUGCUGGUCUUGCUAUGCUGUUUGCAAGCUACUACAACUUGAACAUCAUGUACCCUGCAGAAUGUGCAUCUACACUGAAAUUCAUUCAAAGGUGUUUUGUCCGCAUCAACCCUGACAGGUGUAGCAAAGUGGAGAUUAAGAAGAAUUCCAAGAGGUAUUCUCAAAUUCAUCCCAAAGUUCUGAGUUUGAUUAAUGCCCUUGCUGAUGUGGAUUGGAGGAGUUAAGGCCACAAAAGUGUGGUUAUAUGGUUUUGAAAGUUUUGUUUAAUUUUUUGGUUGUGAUUAUUAUUUCAGUUAUGAAAUUUAAAGGAAUAUUUUGAAAGCUGUUCUUAGGAAUUUUUGUCUCAUGGAAGUUACUCUUUUUAAUUUCAUGUGUUGACGAGAUUAAUUUCUUUUCAAAAUCUUCAUAAGGAAGUACGUACUAGAAGUUUCUCAGCAGUUGAUGUCAUGGAGGCUUAGCGUUUUAAAACGUCAUAUUUUUGCACAUUCACUGCAGUUCUCUUUACAUUUAGGUGAGAUGUUUCACCACAUUUAAUAUGGAGCAUUUUGUACUUUUAUAUAAUCUGUGAUGUUAACAUUUCAUACUCAGGAAAGAUCUGAUCUGUUUCUGCGUAAGUGGAUUUUUAAUAGUUGCCGUCAUGGGAGAAAUCUCAGCAAAAUGGCUUUUGAACCUUAAAAAUAAAGUAUUACUUAUCAGUUGCCUUGUAUAAUUGUUACUUUAGAAGAGGAGGUUUUUGCAGAAUUUAAUGAUGUUACAUUGUUAUAUUUUUGUACAGUAUUUUACUUGAAUUUCUUAAAGAACUGGCCAGCAAUAAUAUUCAUAAGGAUAUUCUAAUACUUUUAUAGAGUUGUUUACAGGU
rnacentral:lncRNA from 1 species